UGUGGGAGCGGGCUUGCUCGCGAAAUCGGCUUGUCAGUUUAAGGUGUGCUAGCUGACCUACCGCAUUCGCGAGCAAGCCCGCUCCCACA
rnacentral:misc_RNA from 1 species